CUCGCAGAGCUGAGGAGCGAAGGGGAAGGACUGGGCUGCUGCUCUACCCCACUUGCUGCGGCCCAGCAGCCGUCCUCAAUGUUCCACACUUGGCAGCGCCCUCAGAUUCAGGACAAGGUUCUCACUUCUCCCAUUCAAGAUUUCAUUGGAUAUUCAAGCCAGUCCAGUAAAUUAAGACCAAAAAAAAAAAAAAAAGAAUAAUCUACAGAUUUUAAAGGAAGAAGUAAAUAUGUGUUUAUUUGAAACAAUGUUCUUAUGGAAAUAGAAAAGUCUACGGAAUCUAGAAAAAAGUACUAGACCAGGUUACUUCUCCCAUGUGCACUUAUAUAAAGAUGCCAGCUUUGUUUUAGGAGGAAUACAGUGGUCCCCCUCCCCAUCUGCAAGGAUGUACUUCAAGACCAUUUGUGGAUGUCUGAAACUGCAGUAAUGAAAAAUAACUAAAGAUGCAAGCUCUCUCUGAGGAAGGAGCAGAGACAGCAGCUGACUCACCAUCUCUCGGAUUUACACUUGCAAACCCAAGGCCAUGGCUGCUGGACAGGUCUGAUGAGCCACUGAAGGACCCCAGGCAAGGCAGAGGCCAACAGAGCAUCAUGUUGUCUGCAGAGAAAAGCAACACGUUCAGAGCUGAGGACAGGCUCUUUUAUCAUCUGGUCAACAAGCAGAGUGGGAGGAUUCAGAGUGUUUCACCAACCAGUCAUGGGGUUCUGUCCCUGAUUUUCCCUGGAAUCUUCCUGAUCCUGAUGUCACCCAGAGCACGUCUCUUCCGGGAGCUCAGGUCCGUGACGCACUGAAUGGGGCAAGAAUCAUCAUCUCCAAUCCCUGUGAAUGGCGUGAACUUUGAAUGGUGCACCUCCAAUCCCUGAAGUGGCGUGAGCUCUGGGCCAAUGCCCUGUUUCUCCUCAUCCCACUUUGAGCCCAUAAAUAUCAAUACCCUGUUUGUGCUCGCUCUCUCUCUCUCUCCCUCUCCCCUUCUCCCCUCCUCUCUCU